UAACGAGAGCACUUAAGUGCAGACCCUCGCCACAACAUUUAUGUAGGUUGAGCUAUUUGUGUUUUUAAUAAUAGAAACUGUCUCAGUUUAAAUUAUUAUACAGGAAUUCAGUAAAGUCAGUGGGUCAGAGAAAGAAUUGAUAUUUGUAUAUAUACAUAAUUGCACUAUUAUGUUUUGACUUAUUAUAUUUUUUUAAUUAUGUAAAAGAGAAAAUAAAAAACAA